rnacentral:rRNA from 1 species
UCAAGCUACAAAGAGCACAAGGGGAAUGCCUUGGCACCGAGAGCCGAAGAAGGACGUGACUAACUGCGAUAAGCUGCGGGGAGCCGUAAGUAGGCUUUGAUCCGCAGAUUUCCGAAUGGAGCAAUCCGGCAAGAGGAAAGUCUUGUCAUCAUAUACUGAAUACAUAGGUAUAUGAGGGGAACCGCCUGAACUGAAACAUCUAAGUAGGGCGAGGAAGAGAAAUCAACUGAGAUUCCGUAAGUAGUGGCGAGCGAACGCGGAAGAGGCCAAACCGAGAGUAGUAAUACUUUCGGGGUUCGGACAGAAAACGGUAUUGUAAAGGUUUAGUGGAAUGGAAUGGGAAGUCCAACCGAAGAAGGUGAGAGUCCUGUACACGAAAAGCCUGAACAGCCAUCUGUAUCCAGAGUACCGCCGGACACGUGAAACCCGGUGGGAAUAUGGGGGGACCAUCCUCCAAGCCUAAAUACUACUCGGUGACCGAUAGUGAAGAAGUACUGUGAAGGAAAGGUGAAAAGUACCCCUGACGGGGAGUGAAAAAGAACCUGAAACCUUGUGUUUACAAGCACCGAAAGCUCAUCAAAGAGCGAUCGGGUACCUUUUGUAGAAUGGUCCGGCGAGUGAAUGUAACCGGCGAGGUUAAGCACUUAAGGUGUGAAGCCGCAGCGAGAGCAAGUCUGAAUAGGGCGUAUGAAGUCGGUUGUAUUCGACCCGAAACCGGGUGACCUACCCAUGGUCAGGUUGAAGUAAAGGUAAAACUUUAUGGAGGACCGAACCGACUCCCGUUGAAAUGGUAGCGGAUGAACUGUGGGUAGCGGAGAAAUUCCAAUCGAACCCGGAGAUAGCUGGUUCUCCCCGAAAUAGUUUUAGGACUAGCCUCAAGUUAGAUACCUGGAGGUAAAGCACUGAAUAGCCUAGCGGCCGAGAGGUUAGCGAAGCUUAUCAAACUCAGAAUGCCAGAGUAUUGAUGCUUGGGAGUCAGACAGUGUCAGAUAAAUGUCAUUGUCAAAAGGGAAACAGCCCAGAUCUACAGCUAAGGUCCCAAAGUCAGGUUAAGUGGAAAACGAUGUGAAGAUACGCAGACAACCAGGAUGUUGGCUCAGAAGCAGCCACUCAUUCAAAGAGUGCGUAAUAGCUCACUGGUCGAGCGUCUUUGCGCGGAGAAUUUAACGGGGCUAAACCUGACACCGAAGCUUAGGCAAUACAGCAAUGUAUUGGGUAGGGGAGCGUUGUAUACGCGGUGAAACAGUAGCGCAAGCGGCUGUGGAGUGUAUAGAAGUGAGAAUGCCGGAAUGAGUAGCGCGAAUGCAGUGAGAAUCUGCAUGGCCGAAAGCCUCAGGUUUCUGGAGGAAGGUUCGUCCGCUCCAGGUUAGUCGGGAGCUAAGGUGAGGCCUAACGGCGUAGCCGAUGCACAGACGGUAGAGAUUCCGUCACCACCAAAAGAGUUAAGCACAGGGACACAUAUGAAGUCUCAGAGCCGGGUGUUGGUUCCGGUAGAGAUCGAGGGAAAUUAGUACCGAAGUCUGAGAUGGAAGAUGGCGAGAAAAGCUGUGUGUAUUUCUGAGGUGCCCGUACCGCAAACCGACACAGGUAGGUAGGAAGAAGAUUCUAAGGCCAACGGGAGAAGGGUUGUUAAGGAACUCGGCAAAUUGACCCCGUAACUUCGGGAGAAGGGGUGCUCCAGAGAUGGAGCCGCAGAGAAUCGGCCCAAGCAACUGUUUACCAAAAACACAGGUUUGUGCUAAAUCGAAAGAUGACGUAUACGAGCUGACGCCUGCCCGGUGCUGGAAGGUUAAGAGGAGAUGUGCAAGCAUUGAAUCGAAGCCCCAGUGAACGGCGGCCGUAACUAUAACGGUCCUAAGGUAGCGAAAUUCCUUGUCAGGUAAG